CCUAAUUGCAUGUGGGAACCUGAUUCCCUUUGGUAGGUGCGGAGAAACGUUCAUCGGUCUGGUCCACAGAAACGCAUGUUCAGCUCUCUGACGAUUGUGUGCCGGACCAGUCAAAGAAUCCUGCAUCAAAACCGAGAGAACGAGCAAGCCUUCAUCGCCAUGGCACAUUUAUAUAAAAAGAAAGGGAGAGAUGUUGCGGGAAGUUAGGGACCCUGAAUGGAGGGACUGGCUGGAGCCAUGGCAGAGGAACAUAAAUUGUGAAGAUUUCAUUUUAAUAUGGACAUUUAUCAGUUCCCAAAUAAUACUUUUAUAAUUUCUUAUGCCUGUCUUUACUUUAAUCUCUUAAUCCUGUUAUCUUUGUAAGCUGAGGAUGUUUGUCACUUCAGGACCACUGUGAUAAUUGUGUUAACUGUACAAAUUGAUUGUAAAACAUGUGUUUGAACAAUAUGAAAUUAGUGCACCUUGAAAAAGAACAGAAUAAGAGCAAUUUUUAGGGAACAAGGGAAAACAACCAUAGGUCUGACUGCCUGCAGGGUCAGGCAGAAAGAGCCAUAUUUUCCUUCUUGAGAGAGGCUAUAAAUGGACAUGCAAGUAGGGAAGAUAUCACUAAAUUCUUUUCCUAGCAAGGAAUAUUAUUAUUAAUACCCUGGGAAAGGAAUGCAUUCCUGGGGGGAGGUCUAUAAACAGCCGCUCUGGGAAUGUCUAUCUUGUGCAGUUGAGAUAAGGACUGAGAUACGCCCUGGUCUCCUGCAGUACCCUCAGGCUUACUAGGGUGGGGAAAAACUCCGCCCUGGUAAAUUUGUGGUCAGACCAGUUCUCUGCUCUCGAACCCUGUUUGCUGUUGUUUAAGAUGUUUAUCAAGACAAUACGUGCACUGCUGAACAUAGACCCUCAUCUGUAGUUCUGCUUUUGCCCUUUGCCUUGUGAUCUUUGUUGGACCCUUAUCAGUGGUUCUGCUUUUGCCCUUUGCCUUGUGAUCUUUGUUGGACCCUUAUCGGUAGUUCUGCUUUUGCCCUUUGUCCUUUCCCUCAGAAGCAUGUGAUCUUUGUUAGACACUUAUUAGUAGUUCUGCUUUUCGCCCUUUGAAGCAUGUGAUCUUUGUUAGACACUUAUUAGUAGUUCUGCUUUUCGCCCUUUGAAGCAUGUGAUCUUUGUACCUACUCCCUGUUCUUACACCCCCUCCCCUUUUUGAAACCCUUAAUAAAAACUUGCUGGUUUGAGGCUUAGGUGGGUAUCACAGUCCUACCGAUAUGUGAUGCCACCCCCGGCGGCCCAGCUGUAAAAUUCCUCUCUUCA